rnacentral:rRNA from 1 species
AUUGAACGCUGGCGGCAGGCCUAACACAUGCAAGUCGAACGAGUGGCGGACGGGUGAGUAAUGUCUGGGAAACUGCCUGAUGGAGGGGGAUAACUACUGGAAACGGUAGCUAAUACCGCAUACCAUCAGAUGUGCCCAGAUGGGAUUAGCUAGUUGGUGGGGUAACGGCUCACCAAGGCGACGAUCCCUAGCUGGUCUGAGAGGAUGACCAGCCAAAAUGGAACUGAGAAACGGUCCAGACUCCUACGGGAGGGAGCAGUGGGGAAUAUUGGACAAAGGGCGCAAGCCUGAAGGAGCCCUGCCGGGUGUAUGAAGAAGGCCUUCGGGGUGUAAAGUACUUUCAGGGGGGGGGCGGUACCCGCAGGAGAAGCCACGGCUAACUCCGGGCCAACCGCCGCGGUAAUAC